UUUAAUCUUAUGUAUUAUCUCUUUUUAUUAAAAAAUAUGUGGGGUAUCCUCGCCAUGGAGGGCUUCACGGGCGCGCACGUUUCUUCUCGCGUCAUCUCCGCUUGCGCCGCCCCUAGCCCCACCGUCGUCCUCCCCGUGAAGCCGCCGGUUGAGCCGCCCCCCUCUCGUGUUGCCUCCAUGUCCGCGCAGAUAUGCCUCGCUCGCCACCCCGUCGUGUUCCUCCCCGAGACACCGUGGCCAGCGUCUAGCCCGCGCUCUUCAUCGUCACGGCGAUGCCGGCUUCCCGGACCCCUUCCGGCUUGCUUCCAUGCCUUCGCUUCGGUUUGUUCUGAGAGGCUACACUUCCUCUAUGAGUCAAGGUUGGCCGUCGGCAAGAGCUCCGAAGGGUUCCAGGCGCUGCAGCAAUCUACACCAGGGCCAGCUUCGCGUCCACUUCUGCACAGGCGAGUGCGGCUAAUUGUUCCAAGUUUAAGCUUCACCUCUAGUCAUGGGUAAAGAGAAGUUACACAUCAACAUUGUGGUUAAUGGCCAUGUCGACUCUGGCAAGUCGACCACCACUGGCCACCUGAUCUACAAGCUUGGAGGCAUUGACAAGCGUGUGAUUGAGAGGUUCAGGAUCUUCAGGUUGAGUUCGAGAAGGAGAAGCAAGAAAAAACAAAACUUUGACAAGUGUUGGAUAACUUGAAGACGGAAUCAGAAACUUCAAGGGUAAAACAUUAUGAGGAAAUAGAAGUUGUAAAGAUGACAUCACAAGAAAUGCACGUCCUCCUUUGUUAACCGCUAAACUUCAACCAGGGCCAGCACAAUCCAAGGCCAUAAAGUUUCUAAGCCCCCAACAGUGAAUUAUUGUAGUAUGUUUCUUUUUUGAAAAUUGGUUGUUGGUUGAACUAUGUCGGGUUGUUUUAUCAAUAGCUGGUUGCUAGUUUUUCACAAGUAGGACUUAGUGGCCCCAAGUUUGUUGAUUUUUGUUACUAGUAGCCUUAUGUUUUGUUGAACAAUGUUGCUUCUUGCUAGAUGUAUUGUGACCUAUGAAUUGGAAUUUGUCUGCCACAAUUUUGGUCAUUGGAUAUGUAAAUUUGUGAAAUAUGUCAUGUGAA